UGUAGUCUGUUACAACUAUGGGAUAGUAGACAUGCCUACCAAAUGUAUGCCCGUUUUGGUCAUACCGGUAUCGGUUGUAUUGUCUUU